rnacentral:sRNA from 2 species
GCGGGGGAUGACCGACAACACGACAACGAAGCACAGUUUGAGCUGAUGCAUCGCUGAUGGACAACGUCACACAUGAGCUAACUCUGCUGACGC